rnacentral:lncRNA from 1 species
CCGAGACCUUGACAGUGAUGAUUGGAAUGAUGGUGUGCAACGCUGACUGUGAGCUGAGGGGGUUUCAUUGCCGAGGGAUAUGUGAAGUGACUCAGAUUGCAAGGGAAAUCUUAAAGUCUUACUUGAGUUGUCCUCCCCACUGCCUGCCGCCUGGAGGAUACAGAAUCAAGGCUCUCUCACCCACUCUUUUAACAACCUACUCAGACUGUUAGCUCCUCACUGCCGGUCACAGUCAAGGUCAGGGCCUUUGCUUACAAUCUCAGCGUCUCUCUCAAGCCUCAGGUGUUCUUGCUUUCCUCCUCCUCCCUGAGGUUAAUGACUAAACUGGCCACCUGGAAGCCAAGCGCACCACUGGGGAGCAAGGUCAAUUGCAGGGCUCUCCUCCAGGCCUUCCCUGGCUGGAACCCACCCACCUUAUCCACUUGGAUGAGAAUUUCUCUGAAUGUCUCUGCUCUGGGCUGGGAGCCUCCCCUGGGACCUACUCAGAUGAACGCCUCUCAGAAGCAUGGAUGGGCAGGUUUUAUCUUCAGACCCAUCCUUUUGUGACAGACUUCCCAACCUCUCAGAGGGGACUUGUCUGAAAUGUAACAAGAGGCAAGCUGACUCCUGCUCAUACUCGGGCAAUCUGACCCCCACAGAUAAGGAGGAAACUGGUGAAAGAACUACUUCUGUGUAUGCACGGAGUUUGAGAGAUACCUGGUCACUCCGGGGCCUCUGGAGCAAGAUGUUCACUGGAUGAAAACAAAAACCAAAGCUACCAGAAGGCAGCCUUGCUGAAAUUCCACCUCCUCCCUGAAGCCUUCCCCGAUGACCACAGUCCAGGCAGACAAUGUCUUUUACAGAUAUUUACUCUGCACUUUGGACUUGUGGAAUCUUGUUUUCUCUUCCAUUGGGUCUCUCUGUAGCAUGGUCUUACACAGUCCUGAGACCAUAAUACUUACUUAAUCACUUUAAUAGUGCAAGGCAGCAACGACAGUGACAAGUGCACUCAAUUGGGAGUCAGAGGACUCUAGUUCAAAUCAUGUCUCUGUCCCCUGCUAGUGUGACUUUGGACAAGUCACUCAUCUUCUUAGAUGACCUGCAAGGCCCCUCCUAGCUCUAAAUCUAUGGUCCUAACUCUCGAUUCAUUGAAAACUUACCCAUUACUUGAGAAGCCACUUUGAAAUGAAGUUUUGGCGCAAAGGAAAGAGCUUUGGAUUCAGAAUCAAAAUACUUGGAUUUGAAUCCUGGUGCUACUGCUUUCUACCUGUGUAACCUUGGACAAGUCAUUUAAUCUUAUGUAGGAUCAGUUUUCUUACCUACAAAAUGAAGGUAGUAUGACUAAUGGACUCCAAGGUCCCUUGGAACUAAAUGCUGUGACCCUGUGAAUCUUGGGGAUGAGUGGACUGGUGGGUGCUUUCUCACAGUAAGCCCCUCAGAGGAGAAUAAAGGUAGCUUACACCACCA